CGGGUGCGGAACACGUACAGAACCUUCCUUCGAGCGGGGAAUAGCCCAGAGAAAUUUGGAUUAAUACCCCAUAGCAUAACGGAGUGGCAUCACUCUGUUAUUAAAGAUUUAUCACUUGAAGAUGGCUGUGCGGCUGAUUAGGUAGUUGGCGGGGUAACGGCCCACCAAGCCUGCGAUCAGUAACUGGUGUGAGAGCACGACCAGUCACACGGGCACUGAGACACGGGCCCG
rnacentral:rRNA from 1 species